AGUUUGACCCCCCGAAACUAAGCGAGCUACUCCAAAGCAACUUAACAGAGCCAACCCGUCCCUGUAGCAAAAGGGUGGGAAGACUUUAGAGUAGAGGUGACACACCUACCGAGCUUAGAGAUAGCUGGUUAUUCAAGAAAGAGAUCUUAGUCCACCUUUAAGUUUCCUCAGUCCUUUAAAACCCCCCAUAAACUUAAAAGUCAUUCAAAUAAGGGACAGCCUGUUUGAAAAAGGGCACAGCCUACAAUUUAGGGUAAUGAAACUCACCCAUGUGACCAAGUCAGCCUAAAAGCAGCUAACUUUCAGAAGGCGUCCAAGCCUCAUCACAAGCCGUCAUCAAUUCCACAACUAAUUCAUAACCCUCAACCAUUACUGAAUAAUCUCAUACCCCUAUGAGAGCUAUCAUGCUAGAACUAGUAACAAGAAGAAGAACUUCUCCAAAAUGUAAACGUAAGCCAAAAUGAACCCUCACUGGCACUUACCGUCAUAAACCCACAGUAUUAACACUGCAAGAAAAAUAUACUUUCACUCGCGUUAACC
rnacentral:rRNA from 1 species